GGGGGUGCACUGGCUUCGACGGGGGUCGCGAAAUCGCCUGGCGCAUGCCGAGGGGGUAGCUUUCCUCGUUAAUCCAGCUGCAAAACUCUAGUUGCCAACGACGACAACUACGCUCUCGCCGCUUAAGGCGUAAGCCCCGAACCGACUUGUGUCCGUGCUCGUCGGUGUAGGGUCACUAUCACGGAAUCGAUCGCGGCGGCGACCCGCCAACCGCGGUUCAACCUUAGCGGGUAUGUGCCUGGGUGUGCUUUGCGCGCCGUGUUGCCCAGGCACGAGAACUAACGGCGCGCUAAGCAUGUAGUGCCGGGGAUGGAGUGCCUUCGGACGGCGGUUCGAUUCCGCCCACCUCCACCA
rnacentral:tmRNA from 1 species